GCUUUCAUCCUUUGUAGUAUAAACCUCAACUAUAGGAUCAAACAGCACCUUUUAGAGAUCACACCCCUUUUAGGCAGGACGGAGCCAAGAUCCAAAACAACAUGGAUUAAACUUUUUUUGAUAAAAAUUUCAAAAUGUACGAAAAUAAAUAAAUUAAGGGCCAAUUACAUAUAAGUCCAUUUUGAGACAUUUUUUCCCACAUAAAUCCACCCCAACAUUUUUACCCACAUAAGUCCACCCAAGUCUAAAUAAGGUUUUGUAUUAAGUAUUGAAGUUCAACAUAAUUACAGACUGCCAUCCAACAAAAAAAAUUAGAUUUUCUCCCUUAUAUUUACAAGAAUGCCACUAGUAUAAAAAGUCAACAACCACUCAUUUUGGAACAGUCUCCGGCGGACCUCCGGCGAGGUUUCCGGCGGACCUCCAGAGAGGUUUCCGGCCGACCUCCGGCGAGAUUUCCGACCGACCUCCGGCGAGGUUUCUGUCCGACCUCCGACGAUGACAAAAAUUACUACUACCAGCUAUAAAAGCUACUACCACCAACUACAAAAGCUACUACCACCGCCUACAAAAGAUACUACUGUGAGGUUUCCGAUGAACACAAAAGCUACUACCACCGCCUACAAAAGCUACUACUGUGAGGUUUCCGACGAACACAAAAACUACUACCACCAGCUACAAAAGCUACUACUACCGCCUACAAAAGCUACUACUGUGAGGUUUUCGACGAACACAAAAACUACUACCACUAGCCACAAAAGCUACUACCACCAGCUACAAAAGCUACUAUCACCGCCUACAAAAGCUACUAUUGUGAGGUUUCCGACGAUCACAAAAAAUACUACAAUCAGCCACAAAAGCUACUACCACCGCCUACAAAAGCUACUACCGAGAUAAACAAAAGCUACCACCAACAUAAACAAAAGCUACUACCCCUAUAUACAAAAGCUACUGCCACAACAAAAGUUAUUACUGACAUAAACAAAAGCUACUACCCCUAUAUACAAAAACUACUACUGCCAGACAUAAAAGCUAUUGCCUCAUCAAUAUAAGCUACUACCGUUACCAACAAAAAAUACUACUCUAACUAACAAAAGCUACUACUUUCACUGACAAAAACUACUACAAGAUAUUUACUACUGUUUGAACUCUCACAAUCUUCACCUCCACUUGAUUUCCUGCAAUUCGAAUCAAAAUCACGAUCCGUCAACACAUAUGCAAAUCACACUCACAUAUCUCGCGUUCGGAUUUACAGAAUCGUAGAGAGAAACAAAAAUUAAAAGAAAGAACUGCAUUACCUCUGUGAGAUCUAAAGAAUUAGAAGCAGAUCGAGAUUGAUUUGACUCCGGCGAUCUUGACGUCGAGAGGUAGUAACUCCAGACGGCGAGGACGAUCAUUUGCGCACCACCACGUAAUCAAACAGUGUGUUCCUUCAACACCUUUUUCAGAGUUCUGACCUCCAUCCAAUNNNNNNNNNNNNNNNNNNNNUUUUUGACGAAAGAAAAAGCUGAGGGUAUUUUGGGCAUAGUCUAAAGGUAACAUGAUGGAUUUGGGCUGUAAAGUGGACUUAUAUGAGUAAAAAUAUUUAGGUGGACUUACACUGGAGAGAAUGUCUCGAUGUGGACUUUUAUGAAAUUUGCUAUUAAUAAUGUUUGUAUCUGAGUAUCUAGAGUAAUGCUAGGUGAAUCACCAUUUAGGGAACCACCUAGAGCCCACCUGACGUGACGGCUGAUGUGGCAUAUCCAUGCCAUCAAAACUUAAUUUCUUACUCUUUUAUAUUUAUGUUUUUCUUAAUUACUAUAAUUCCUUUUUCUUUUAGUUUUGUAAUUACUUAAUUCUGUUUUUAUCUCUAAACCCUAUUUUUUUAGUUUGUUUCAUAGCUUCUACUUCGACGUCUACAGACGUUUUCUUUUACUCUUCUCAUGUCACGUCGAUCUCCUCUCAAUUGAUCGGCUUUUUUUUUAUUUUUUAUCUUGUGAUAUAAUCUGUAAACGUCUUCAAGUUUUCUUUUGUACAUUCGCAUAUGCGAGGUCUUUCAUUCCAAAUUAAAUUCUGCAAUUUGUCAAACCUCGUAUUUCGUUUUCAAUUGAUCGGCUCCGAUCCUCUAUUUGAUUUAGGUUUCCUCACAAGCCUCCCCUUUGACUUUUUUUUUCUUUUUCAUGUAUUAAAUACGAAUAACAUGUUUGGAAUAGGGUUCAUGGAACGUGAAUUUGAAUUUUGGCUGGUUCUUGUGUUCUUAUUAGAUCUUGAAUUAUCUCUAGAACUCUUGUUAAUUUCUACUAUAGCUUAGAACAGGAGCUGCACAAAUGAAAGGGGGAUAUUUUUUUAUUUUUUUUGGAUAUGAGGAAGAUGGAGUUCAUGGGUUGGUUUCUUACGAGAAGAAGUCAUUUUGAUCACAGUCCUUUCUUCAGCCUUCGUUAUUAUGGCAGGCCACCACAGCAAGCAGCUUUAUUCUCUAAACCCUAUUU
rnacentral:lncRNA from 1 species